UACGGAGGGAGCGAGCGUUGUCCGAAGUUACUGGGCGUAAAGCGCGCGUAGGCGGGGAAUUAAGUGAGAAGUGAAAGGCUGGGGCUCAACCUCAUGCAGUGCUCCUCAUACUGGUUCUCUUGGAGGGCGGUAGGGAGAAGUGGAAUGGGCUGGUGUAGCGGUGAAAUGCGUAGAUAUCAGUCGGAACACCGGUGGCGAAGGCGGCUUCUUGGGGCCGUUUCUGACGGCUGAUGCGCGAAAGCCAGGGGAGCCGAACGGG
rnacentral:rRNA from 1 species